rnacentral:rRNA from 1 species
CCUUCGGGUCUAGUGGCGCACGGGUGCGUAACGCGUGGGAAUCUGCCCUGGGGUGCGGAAUAACUCGGAGAAAUCCGUGCUAAUACCGCAUAAUGUCUUCGGACCAAAGAUUUAUUGCCCUGGGAUGAGCCCGCGUAGGAUUAGCUUGUUGGUGAGGUAAAGGCUCACCAAGGCGACGAUCCUUAGCUGGUCUGAGAGGAUGAUCAGUCACACUGGAACUGAGACACGGUCCAGACUCC